rnacentral:rRNA from 1 species
GACGAACGCUGGCGGCGUGCUUAACACAUGCAAGUCGAACGGAAAGGCCCUGCUUUUGUGGGGUGCUCGAGUGGCGAACGGGUGAGUAACACGUGAGUAACCUGCCCUUGACUUUGGGAUAACUUCAGGAAACUGGGGCUAAUACCGGAUAGGAGCUCCUGCUGCAUGGUGGGGGUUGGAACGUUUCGGCGGUUGGGGAUGGACUGGCGGCUUAUCAGCUUGUUGGUGGGGUAGUGGCUUACCAAGGCUUUGACGGGUAGCCGGCCUGAGAGGGUGAACGGCCACAAUGGGACUGAGAGACGGCCCAGACUCGUACGGGAGGCAGCAGGGGGGAAUAUUGCACAAUGGGCGGAAGCCUGAGGCAGAAACGCCGCGUGCGGGAUGAAGGCCUUGGGGGUGUAAACCGCUGUAGCCUGUGACGAAGCGUGAGUGACGGUAAUGGGUAAAGAAGCACCGGCUAACUACGUG